CUGCGAAUGGCUCAUUAUAUAAGUUAUCGUUUAUUUGAUAGUACCUUACUACUUGGAUAACCGUGGUAAUUCUAGAGCUAAUACAUGCUAAAAAUCCCGACUCACGAAGGGAUGUAUUUAUUAGAUUAAAAACCAAUGCCCUCUGGGCUUCUUGGUGAUUCAUAAUAACUUCUCGAAUCGCAUGGCCUUGCGCCGGCGAUGGUUCAUUCAAAUUUCUUCCCUAUCAACUUUCGAUGUUUGGGUAUUGGCCAAACAUGGUCGCAACGGGUAACGGAGGGUUAGGGCUCGACCCCGGAGAAGGAGCCUGAGAAACGGCUACUACAUCCAAGGAAGGCAGCAGGCGCGCAAAUUACCCAAUCCCAAUUCGGGGAGGUAGUGACAAUAAAUACUGAUACAGGGCUCUUUUGGGUCUUGUAAUUGGAAUGAGUACAAUUUAAAUCUCUUAACGAGGAACAAUUGGAGGGCAAGUCUGGUGCCAGCAGCCGCGGUAAUUCCAGCUCCAAUAGCGUAUAUUAAAGUUGUUGUGGUUAAAAAGCUCGUAGUUGAACCUUGGGCUCGGCCGGCCGGUCCGUCUCACCACGUGUACUGGCCUGGCCGGGCCUUUCCCUCUGUGGAACCCCAUGCCCUUCACUGGGUGUGGCGGGGAAACAGGACUUUUACUUUGAAAAAAUUAGAGUGCUCCAGGCAGGCCUAUGCUCGAAUACAUUAGCAUGGAAUAAUAAAAUAGGACGUGUGGUUCUAUUUUGUUGGUUUCUAGGACCGCCGUAAUGAUUAAUAGGGACAGUCGGGGGCAUCAGUAUUCAAUUGUCAGAGGUGAAAUUCUUGGAUUUAUUGAAGACUAACUACUGCGAAAGCAUUUGCCAAGGAUGUUUUCAUUAAUCAGGAACGAAAGUUAGGGGAUCGAAGACGAUCAGAUACCGUCGUAGUCUUAACCAUAAACUAUGCCGACUAGGGAUCGGACGAUGUUAUUUUUUGACGCGUUCGGCACCUUACGAG
rnacentral:rRNA from 1 species